ACAGCCUCUAUAUGAGAUUCCAGGAUAUUUUAAGGGAAGAGAAAGACUUGAGGGCCCUGAAGUUUUUCCUAGGCCCUCCCUCUGUCAGUGUGGUCCAGAAGUCAGGCCGAGGGUCAACUGUCAGGUGUGGAACCCACAGAAAGGGGACAGUGAUCUGUCACCUGGAUUCUACUUUGAGACAAGAUUCAGCAGGCUCUUGCCUCCACCUUGUGAGCUGUAGUUUCCAUGAAAAAGAAAGAGAGAGAGAAAGAAGGAAAGAAAAGAGGAGAAAAGAAAAGAAAGGAAAAGAACAGAGAAGGCCAUGCUCAUGUUAAGCAUUCUACAAGGCUGACUGGCUGAUUAUUGGAAGCCAGAAUUAUCUCAGGCUACCUUAGCCCCUAAAUAGACAUUUACCACCCACUUCUGUGUGUACCCUGACACCUUUGUGACUAUUAGGUAAAUCCUGUGCAGACAGACUCCCUAGCUGCUGCCAACCCAAAGUCUAAGCCUGUCAUCAGACAGUCUCUAAGGCUAGAGCAGGUUUCCCCACUGCGCUGCUGCCUGAGGCCUCCAACCAAUGUUUUUGCAAA